rnacentral:lncRNA from 1 species
CAGACAUCAUCCUCUGUAUUAGCCCUAUGCCAUUGUGUCAAGCGCCCAGCCAAGACAUUCCUCCGAGAAUCACCCUCUUAUUGAGCCCUAUCCCAUAGGUGUCGCAGCCAGCCAAGUCUCCUCCCCAGACUCAUCCUGCUUAUUGAGCCCUAUCCAUUAGGUUGUCAGCAGCCCAGCCAAUCUCCCUCCCAGACAUCAUCCUCUUAUUGAGCACUAUCCAUUAGUGUCAGAAGCCCGCCCAGUUACUCCCUCCCCAACCAUGCCUCUAUUGAGCCCUAUCCAUUAGGUGUAGCAGCCCAGCCAGUCCAUGCCUCCCCGUCCCUCCCCAGACAUUCAUCCUCUAAUUGAGCCCUAUCCAUUAGGUGUCAGCAGCCCAGCCAAGACUUUCCUCGCCUCAGACAUCACCCUCUUAUUGAGCCCUAUCCAUUAGGUGUCAGCAGCCCAGCCAAGACUCCCUCCCCCAACAAUCACCCUAUUAUUGAGCACUUCAUCCAUUAGGUUGUCCAGCAGCCCAGCAAGACUCCUCCCCCGGAC